rnacentral:rRNA from 1 species
UACAGAGGUCUCAAGCGUUGUUCGGAUUCAUUGGGCGUAAAGGGUGCGUAGGUGGCGCGCUAAGUCAGGUGUGAAAUUUCGGAGCUUAACUCCGAAACUGCAUUUGAUACUGGUGUGCUUGAGGACUGGGGAGGAGACUGGAAUUCAUGGUGUAGCAGUGAAAUGCGUAGAGAUCAUGAGGAAGACCAGUGGCGAAGGCGGGUCUCUGGACAGUUCCUGACACUGAGGCACGAAGGCCAGGGGAGCAAACGGG